GAUGAACGCUGGCGGCGUGCCUAAUACAUGCAAGUCGAGCGAACGGACGAGAAGCUUGCUUCUCUGACGUUAGCGGCGGACGGGUGAGUAACACGUGGAUAACCUACCUAUAAGACUGGGAUAACUUCGGGAAACCGUAGCUAAUACCGGAUAAUAUUUUGAACCGCAUGGUUCAAAAGUGAAAGACGGUCUUGCUGUCACUUAUAGAUGGAUCCGCGCUGCAUUAGCUAGUUGGUAAGGUAACGGCUUACCAAGGCAACGAUGCAUAGCCGACCUGAGAGGGUGAUCGGCCACACUGGAACUGAGACACGGUCCAGACUCCUACGGGAGGCAGCAGUAGGGAAUCUUCCGCAAUGGGCGAAAGCCUGACGGAGCAACGCCGCGUGAGUGAUGAAGGUCUUCGGAUCGUAAAACUCUGUUAUUAGGGAAGAACAAAUGUGUAAGUAACUGUGCACAUCUUGACGGUACCUAAUCAGAAAGCCACGGCUAACUACGUG
rnacentral:rRNA from 1 species